rnacentral:rRNA from 1 species
CAAAAUGACUCUCGGCAACGGAUAUCUCGGCUCUCGCAUCGAUGAAGAACGUAGCAAAAUGCGAUACUUGGUGUGAAUUGCAGAAUCCCGUGAACCAUCGAGUCUUUGAACGCAAGUUGCGCCCAAAGCCUUUUGGUUGAGGGCACGUCUGCCUGGG